GUCAUCGCGCGGCGCGGCGGCACAGCGGAAGGGGCGGGCACUCCCCACAGGGCAGUUCCGCCUCCACUUUGGAGGCAGGAUCGAGGCGAAAUCUGUAAGGUCUUUCCGGUGCCACAAGUGUCGCCAUCUUGGUUCUUGAUGGUGAAAUCCCUUCCUUGAGACUGCAGCAUCAGCAUCCCUUUGUUUGAAAUGCAGAAUCUCAGGCUCUACCCCAGAAGUCAGAAUCUACAUUCUGAAGAGAUCCCUUUUAAAGUUUGAGAAACACUGCCCUAGAAGACUGAUUUCACAGACAACACAACCUGAGGAGACAAGUAUCAAGUCCAAUAGGAUUUUGCAUCAAACCAAAGAGGGGUCCUAAUGGAGAGACAAGUCUACCUAGCUCCACUCUCAAAAGGUUGGAAACCCUUCUGGGGACAAUAUGAAGUACACCAAAGCCUCGGGGUCUCCUCCACUCACCAAGAUCAGAAUAGCUUCUCUUGCAGAACUGCCUGCGGCCCCC